CCUACGGGAGGCAGCAGUGGGGAAUAUUGGGCAAUGGGCGAAAGCCUGACCCAGCAACGCCGCGUGAAGGAAGAAGGCUCUCGGGUUGUAAACUCCUUUUGACAGGGAAGAGCAGAAGACGGAUCCUGUCGAAUAAGCCACGGCUAACUACGUGCCAGCAGCCGCGGUAAUACGUAGGUGGCAAGCGUUGUCCGGAUGUACUGGGUGUAAAGGGCGUGUAGCCGGGCUGACAAGUAAGUUGUGAAAUCCGGGGGCUCAACCCCCGAACUGCAUGUGAAAAUGUUGGUCGUGAGUAUCGGAGCGGCAGGCGGAAUUCCUAGUGUAGCGGUGAAAUGCGUAGAUAUUAGGAGGAACACCAGUGGCGAAGGCGGCCUGCUGGACGACAACUGACGGUGAGGCGCGAAAGCGUGGGGAGCAAACAGGAUUAGAUACCCUGGUAGUC
rnacentral:rRNA from 1 species